CCCUUAGAUGUUCUGGGCCGCACGCGCGCUACACUGAUACGUUCAGCAAGUUUGCAACCUUGACCGGGAGGUCCGGGUAAUCUUUGAAAGCGUAUCGUGAUGGGGAUAGAUUAUUGCAAUUGUUAAUCUUCAACGAGGAAUUCCUAGUAAACGCAAGUCAUCAGCUUGCAUUGAUUACGUCCCUGCCCUUUGUACACACCGCCCGUCGCUACUACCGAUUGAAUGGUUUAGUGAGUAUCACGGACUGUCGCGCUUGCCAGGGCAACCUGGUUUGCGCGAGGGGAAGUGACGCUAACUUGACCAUUUAGAGGAAGUAAAAGUCGUAACA
rnacentral:rRNA from 1 species